GAGAAAAUAAUAUUUAAAAAUAUUUAUGAAUCAAGAACUCACUUAUAUCGUAAAUAUACGAUAUAACUAAAUCGGAAUAAAGUUUAUCUCCAUCAUGGAUCACUUAUUCAAUUAGGCAAAGCAUGAAUGCAAAAUCCUGUUAUCUCGUUACCCUCGCGAAUUAUCAUCGACACAUUACACAUUGCAACCGCAGGGGUUGCAGAAAUUUCGGUGAGCGUAAUUUUCGUUUGGUAACAGGUUUCGUCGCCCUCACGCUCUUUGUCCGUCACGAUCCGCGACAUGUGCAUCCCUAUCGAAUCUAAAGUCGCGCGGUCCAUCGAGCUUACAAUAUGACCCUUGACAGAACGAGGUCCAUUGUGUCAUUUGAGAGGGGCGAGAUGAGUCAAGCGUUCCAUAUUAAUUCAAGAUGCAAAUUCGAGCUUCGUUUGUAGAAUUAAAUAGAUGGAAUAUUUCAUAAGUGGAUAAUGUUUAUGUAAGAUUUAUGCUGCAGCAUGAAAAAUUUUGUGAAAAAAUUAUUAUACAUCAGAUAUAGAAUAUUUGAGAUUUAAAAUUGGUGAUAAAA